CAUCUUUCUCACCCAUUUUCCUCCUACCUCCACCCACCAAAACCAUCACAUUCUAGCCACCACCAUGAAAUAAUACACCAAAACCUUCACUUUCGUCAACCACCUUCUUCAAACCCUAAUGAAGUGGCUUCAAAUUCGUCAACAAAAUCCUCUUUAACCCCAAUUUUGCCCCUUUAAAACAAAACACUAGAAGACCUUCAGACACCACAUUUGAACGAAAUUUUACAGGUUUUGCUAUGAACAAUGUUUCUAGCAGCAGCUUGGUGCAACGACAGACACGUAUAGAGAGAGGGGGUGGUGAUUUAGGGUUUUGACUGGUGGCAACACAAAUCCCAUAAACUACGAUUUCAGAAGUAAAGGGGUAGCGUGGUGGUCUGUUGGUGAUGGGUUGGUGGUUUACCGUAGUGAUGGUGGUGAUAGCAACAAAGACCGAUGAAAAUGGCUGUAAUUAUAAGCCGCAAACAUGGUGAUGGCUGGAUUUUGCUUAGAUGAAGAUAGUGUAUUGGUUGUGUUUUGGUGGACGGUGGGGAUGAUGAACAGUGGGUUCUUUUUUAUGAACAAUGGUGGUGGUUGUAAAUGAUGAAUGCUUAUGGUUGCAGCGAUGGUGUUGAUGGUAGUGUAAAGUGGUAACAAUUGGGGGUGGUGUCUGGUUGUGUAGUGGUGGGUGGUGGGUUGGAAAUGGAGGUGAAGCAAAGGUAGUUAAAGAGAGAGCAGGGGAUGAGAACUUAUUAGCUUUUGUUUUUGUUGGUUUUUUUAAAUCUAAACUUGUUUUUGUUAAAAUAAAAUAUAUUUAAUCAA